rnacentral:rRNA from 1 species
AUGCAUGGACCUUGCAUAUACUCAGGUACAACCGAGAUGACCAUGGAGGAUCCAAGGACCAAGGCCAAGCAUGGAAGAGGAGAAGGAAGAAGAAGAUCAGAGCAAGACUGGACUUGCCCGGAUCAUCCAGAUCCCCAGCCGGACGAUCCGGACCAAGCCCGGAUGAUCCGGACCCCGACCCGGACGAUCCGGGUAAUGUGCCCGAAGACACCCGAAGCCUGCUCGACGAAGCCGGAUCAUCCGGACCCCCGAUACCCGGAUCAUCCGGGCCACCAUCCGGAUCAUCCGGACCCCGCUUGCGUGCGUGACUUGGGCCGAAGCCCAUGCACCCCUUCGCCCCUCACUUACCCCUUCGUGGCUUAG